AGGGUUCGAUUCUGGCUCAGGACGAACGCUGGCGGCGUGCCUAACACAUGCAAGUCGAGCGAUGAAGUUCUUCGGAACGGAUUAGCGGCGGACGGGUGAGUAACACGUGGGUAACCUGCCUUGUAGAGGGGGAUAGCCUUCCGAAAGGAAGAUUAAUACCGCAUAACAUCUUUUUUAUCGCAUGGUAGAAAGAUCAAAGGAGCAAUCCGCUACAAGAUGGACCCGCGGCGCAUUAGCUAGUUGGUGAGGUAACGGCUCACCCAAGGCGACGAUGCGUAGCCGACCUGAGAGGGUGAUCGGCCACAUUGGAACUGAGACACGGUCCAGACUCCUACGGGAGGCAGCAGUGGGGAAUAUUGCGCAAUGGGGGGAAAAACCCCCUGACGCAGCAACGCCGCGUGAAUGAAGAAGGCCUUAGGGUUGUAAAGUUCUGUUUACGGGGACGAUAAUGACGGUACCCGUGGAGGAAGCCACGGCUAACUACGUGCCAGCAGCCGC
rnacentral:rRNA from 1 species